rnacentral:tRNA from 1 species
GCCUGGGUAGCUCAGUCGGUAGAGCAGCGGACUGAAAAUCCGCGUGUCGGCGGUUCAAUUCCGUCCCUAGGCA